GCAAAUGAAAAGGAGGGAGGUAAUCCUCGACCGAACAAUAUGAUGCAAGCUUUCCGGGACUGCUUGGUGGAGUGUGGACUAGAGGACAUGGGCUAUAUGGGAGACUUGUACACUUGGAGGAGAGGAGAGAUUAGGGAAAGAUUGGACCGGGCAGUGUGUAACUCGCAGUGGUCUACCAAAUUUCCGAAAGGGGCGUUGAUCAAUGAGAGUCAUGUCCAUUCGGAUCAUAGACCAAUUAUACUUGACACCGAGUACCAGGAGGGUGUUCAAUUUAGCAGGACGACAGGAGGCCAAAAGUUUGAAGCUAAGUGGUUGAAGGAGGAAACAGUGGAAGAGAUUGUGAAUACAGCAUGGAGUCGGGCCAAACUUGCUGGCUUGGGUCCAUCGUUAGCCGACCAAACUCGUCUGUCAAGUCAGAUCUUCAUCAAUGGGAUAAGGAGGUGUUACAGGGGCCAAAGAUAA
rnacentral:rRNA from 1 species